UACGUAGGGUGCGAGCGUUAAUCGGAAUUACUGGGCGUAAAGCGUGCGCAGGCGGUUUUGUAAGCCAGAUGUGAAAUCCCCGGGCUUAACCUGGGAAUGGCAUUUGGGACUGCAAGGCUGGAGUACGGCAGAGGAGACUGGAAUUCCUGGUGUAGCAGUGAAAUGCGUAGAGAUCAGGAGGAAUGCCGAUGGCGAAGGCAGGUCUCUGGGCUGAUACUGACGCUCAUGCACGAAAGCGUGGGGAGCAAACAGG
rnacentral:rRNA from 1 species